CUCUUUGUUUUACAUUUCAGAGCACCGAACCUAUGGCUGCUUUUGCCUUUGCUCCUCUCUGUGUAGCGAUGCCUGUCAACAUCCACCAGAGAGCAGAGCAGCUCUGAAGACCCAGGCCUUUUAUGCUUUGGAAAUCAAUGGAGACAGCUACACAGCCAGAUCUCGGCCAAACAACAUGGAUUGCAGUUCAUUUCAAAGGAACCUUUGGACACCAAGGAAGAAAGAAGUGGGACAUGACUCCUCCUGAAAGACUUGUGACAUUUCUCUUCCACAGUCCUACCAGCUUAAUUCUCUGGAUUGCUGAAGGAUAA
rnacentral:lncRNA from 11 species